AUAACGUUCGGAAACGGACGCUAAUACCGCAUACGUCCUACGGGAGAAAGCAGGGGACCUUCGGGCCUUGCGCUAUCAGAUGAGCCUAGGUCGGAUUAGCUAGUUGGUGAGGUAAUGGCUCACCAAGGCGACGAUCCGUAACUGGUCUGAGAGGAUGAUCAGUCACACUGGAACUGAGACACGGUCCAGACUCCUACGGGAGGCAGCAGUGGGGAAUAUUGGACAAUGGGCGAAAGCCUGAUCCAGCCAUGCCGCGUGUGUGAAGAAGGUCUUCGGAUUGUAAAGCACUUUAAGUUGGGAGGAAGGGCAGUAAAUUAAUACUUUGCUGUUUUGACGUUACCGACAGAAUAAGCACCGGCU
rnacentral:rRNA from 1 species